UACGUAGGGGGCAAGCGUUGUCCGGAAUUAUUGGGCGUAAAGCGCGCGCAGGCGGUCAUUUAAGUCUGGUGUUUAAGCCCGGGGCUCAACCUCGGUUCGCAUCGGAAACUGGAUGACUUGAGUGUAGGAGAGGAAAGUGGAAUUCCACGUGUAGCGGUGAAAUGCGUAGAGAUGUGGAGGAACACCAGUGGCGAAGGCGGCGACCUGGACGGACACUGACGCUGAGACGCGAAAGCGUGGGGAGCAAACAGG
rnacentral:rRNA from 1 species